UGUGUGUGUGUGUGUGUGUGUGUGUGUGUGUGUGUUGGUCAGAGGACAACUAACUGAACCAGUUCUCUCUUUUUACUAUAUAGAUUCUGGGGAUUGAACUUAGGCCUUGAGCCUUGGUGGCAAAUAUACGUAGCCCUGAGCCAUCUUGUCAGCCCACAGAAAAUAUUUGAGUUCUACUAUAAUUGGAAAAUAGAUAUUCAUCUAGAGCUUUCUAGUGUUGGACCUUCCAGGAGUCAUCUGUUGCAGCCCAGAAUUUGCCUGGGGCCUCUUACUGAAAUAAUUGGUACAGCACUUCCUAUUCCACUGGGGACAAGAAGUUAUGUUCUACUGAGGGUUCAAUAGAAGUGUCCCUUCUGGCUAUCUGCUGAAUGAAUGUCCUUCGUCAUCUUCCCUCCUUGGAACUAUUAUUCUGAUAGCUCAUUGCAACUCUUCCAUUAAAUUCCAAGGAGCUGUACAUCUAAUAUUUCCUAGGACAGAGUCCAACGCUCACCAGGAAAAUGAACAGCACUCCUUCAACUUCAGUUUGUGUGUGUAACAUUGACACACCAAGAUGGAUGAAUUCCCCUGAGCUGAGACGGAGCCUUGCCAUCACAGAGUCAUUAGAGACUGCCUGCCACUCUGGGAGCUUUCCCAGCCUGAAGCAUUGUGUCAUUAUUAAGAAUCUCACCAAGGAUGAAGAGUUGGACUCUCUGUGGUUUGGAGGGGGCUUGUUACCCACGAGGACUUGUGUUGGUCUGCAACAUGACCAUAAUAAAACAUUGUGGAGUCUCUAA